rnacentral:rRNA from 1 species
UACGGAGGGUGCAAGCGUUGUUCGGAAUUAUUGGGCGUAAAGGGCGUGUAGGCGGUUUGGUAAGUCAGAUGUGAAAGCCCUGGGCUUAACCCAGGAAGUGCAUUUGAAACUACCAGACUUGAGUAUGGGAGAGGAGAGUGGAAUUCCCAGUGUAGAGGUGAAAUUCGUAGAUAUCAGGAGGAACACCGGUGGCGAAGGCGACUUUCUGGCCCUAUACUGACGCUGAGGUGCGAAAGCGUGGGGAGCAAACAGG